AGACCGCCAGCUAAGGUCCCAAAGUCAUGGUUAAGUGGGAAACGAUGUGGGAAGGCCCAGACAGCCAGGAUGUUGGCUUAGAAGCAGCCAUCAUUUAAAGAAAGCGUAAUAGCUCACUGGUCGAGUCGGCCUGCGCGGAAGAUGUAACGGGGCUAAACCAUGCACCGAAGCUGCGGCAGCGACACUCAGGUGUUGUUGGGUAGGGGAGCGUUCUGUAAGCCUGCGAAGGUGGCCUGUGAGGGUUGCUGGAGGUAUCAGAAGUGCGAAUGCUGACAUAAGUAACGAUAAAGCGGGUGAAAAGCCCGCUCGCCGGAAGACCAAGGGUUCCUGUCCAACGUUAAUCGGGGCAGGGUGAGUCGACCCCUAAGGCGAGGCCGAAAGGCGUAGUCGAUGGGAAACGGGUUAAUAUUCCCGUACUUGGUGUUACUGCGAAGGGGGGACGGAGAAGGCUAUGUUGGCCGGGCGACGGUUGUCCCGGUUUAAGCGUGUAGGCUGGUUUUCCAGGCAAAUCCGGAAAAUCAAGGCUGAGGCGUGACGACGAGGCACUACGGUGCUGAAGCAACAAAUGCCCUGCUUCCAGGAAAAGCCUCUAAGCAUCAGGUAACAC
rnacentral:rRNA from 1 species